AGUGAACGCUGGCGGUAGGCCUAACACAUGCAAGUCGAACGGCAGCACAGUAAGAGCUUGCUCUUACGGGUGGCGAGUGGCGGACGGGUGAGGAAUACAUCGGAAUCUACUUUUUCGUGGGGGAUAACGUAGGGAAACUUACGCUAAUACCGCAUACGACCUACGGGUGAAAGCAGGGGAUCUUCGGACCUUGCGCGAGUGAAUGAGCCGAUGUCGGAUUAGCUAGUUGGCGGGGUAAAGGCCCACAAAGGCGACGAUCCGUAGCUGGUCUGAGAGGAUGAUCCGCCACACUGGAACUGAGACACGGUCCAGACUCCUACGGGAGGCAGCAGUGGGGAAUAUUGGACGAUGGGCGCAAGCCUGAUCCAGCCAUACCGCGUGGGUGAAGAAGGCCUUCGGGUUGUAAAGCCCUUUUGUUGGGAAAGAAAAGCAGCAGGUUAAUACCCCGCUGUUCUGACGGUACCCAAAGAAUAAGCACCGGCUAACUUCGUG
rnacentral:rRNA from 1 species